UCAAAACUUCCUUGGAGUUUCAAAGACAGUUAUGUCCUCCCAUUGGGCAAAGAGAGUCAAAUACCCUCGGAGUUGACCUCGUUUAUUAAAAAAUCUUUUCGGGAAAACCGCAAGUCAGAUGUUAUAUUAGGCGUUGUGGUGUUCCGAGCUCCGCGUCCCGUCGAUCAUCCCAGUUUUAAUGCUUCA